ACCACAACCAUUAAGUUAUGAAAAUAAGCUUAUUUUAUCUACAUGUCACUAUCCCCCAUUGAACUACAUUGGAUAUUGACCACCUCUAUGAUUCAGGCUAGUUUUCAAUUCAGAUUUACUGCCAUCAGAUUUUUUUAUCAUGAUAUCAUAGGUUAUUAUAGCAAAAUUAAAUACCCUAAUCCAUCUGCUAGGCACAGUAGAAGCUAUGGAUUGAGAAAAUCAAGGAGUCAGGCAAAGUGGAAGGAAUUAUCAUCGCUGCUUGGACUUGGCAGCGAAAUAAUCCCGGAGAAAUUCCAUCUUUCUAUGAUGAAAUCAGGCUCUAUAUGUGCUCCUGUAAUGAUACGAUACACAAGUAUUCAGCCCUGCAAACAGCUUGGAUAGCACUUUGUGGAACAAAAUGGAUGCAAUUGGAUUAGAGAUGUUUCCAAGUCAGGAAAUUGAAAUCCUUCAAAGAGUGAAAGAUAACUGAGAAUCUCAAGGAAGGCAAAAAAUUCUCAGGGAUACCAUCAAAUUCACCUUCAAAGGAUAAAAGGCAGUCCUCUGGAGCAAGCUCUGGAGUACUGAAGACAAGUUCUCACUAUGUCACCCAGGCUGGUCUUGAACUCCCGUCCUCAAGUUAUCCUCCCGCCUUGGCUUACCAAAGUGAUGGGAUUACAGGCAUGAAUCACUGAGCGUGGCCUCUGAUUUAGUUUUGACUCAGAAAAAAGGAAGAGGUUGGAAAAGAAUAGAGAAGAAAAAGAAAAAAAGAAGCAUUCAUAUUGCUUGUACAUCAUUGCCAAUCCUCCAUUCUGGAAGUAGGCGAUGCCUUAAAGUGGGAUGGAAUGACUUAUGUAGGGUUGACAGAAGCAAAAACCAUUUUUGGUCAGAAGCACAAAUUCUUCUACACAGGUUGGAAGAAGUGAUAUAGAAUGUAUAUGGCCUGUAUGUGUUCCUGAUGCAUAAAGCAACAAAUAAAAGUCUACUUUAUUAAACGAAGACGUUGCCAUUCAUCUUCAGAUCUCAGAUCACCCUGUGAGUGCAAAGUGAGUAUUGAAAGAGGUAAAAGGGAUAGGAAUCAGGCCCCAAAUUCAUACUACUAGGCUGAGAAAUCUAUGCAACUCUGAGCAGUUUCUGGCAGCUCUAAAAGACCCAGGCCAGACUGCUGGUGUGAAACGCUGAUCUGGCUAUAAACACCUCCAGCCACUGAGCUACUCUCUCUUCGCGGAAUGAAGCUUCCUACCACAAACCAAAUGAAUUGCCAGGCGUUCCCUCUGAACACAUUACUCCCCGCUUUUUGACUUCUUUGUAUCAUGUUCAGUUUUCUCACUCCAGAAUUCCUGGCCUUCCAUUAUCACCUUCUUUUUCUCUUUAUUAAAUAAGAAGUCCACUUUCCAAUGUCUUUAGUGUUUCUACAAAAGCUGAGGAGGUCAUCUUUUUUCUAUUCACAGUCUCUUUAUUCAGUCAAAAAAAUCUUUAAAUCCUGACUCAAGAUAGAGGGCAAAAGCAAGCUUUUCUGCUGUAAUUACCCUAAUGCUGUCCACAUUCAAUCUACUAAAAACAAACAAACAAAAGGGAACAUCAGAAAGGAAAGCUGCCACCAAAACAGAAACAAACACAAAUUCCAAAUAUUAAAACCUAAAGAGAAGAAUAUUGGAUGCUAGUUCCUCAAGUCUGUCUGCUUGCACACUACUAUACUGUACUACAUGGUACCAUGUUAGUUAGAGAGAAGUGCCUCUCUAGGUCCAGAGGCUUGAGCAUGUGGGAGGAUCUAUUCAGGAUAUGGGCAAGGUAUGUGACACAAUGACCCUUUGCAAUGCACAUAGAGACUCCCAUCCAAAUCCACAGUUUCACCAUAACCACUCUGUUAUUGAAGUAUUUGUUGCAAGUUAAGCUACUUGAUUUAUUUUCCUUUUCAAAAAUAACACUAAGAAACCAACUCACCACAGAAUGCAAACAUUUCUCUCAGGAAUUCACACCCUAUUGAGGUCCCCAGGGAGAAAUUCAGUGAACAACUCUGGAUGAAGAAUGUUACUCUAAUACAAAUCAAAGCAGGGUCACCACACAAAAAUAACUCUUGUCCCUACACUAAAUGCAGAGGAAAAGAAAUACUUGAGGCUGGUUGUGGAGAGUCAUCAAUAAGGUAAAAGAUGAGGCUGUUUUCCAGGUUAUAUAAACUUUUAAAACAUAAUUUUCUUUUUAAAAAGUUUAAUCUAUUUAUUUAUUUAUUUUGAGACCAGGUUAUGAGACGGGUUAAUUUUUGUAUUUUUGGUGGAAACGGGGUUUCACCGUGUUGCCAAGGCUAGUCUCGAACCCCUUGGCCUUAAGCGAUCCACCCGCCUGGGCCUCCCAAAGUGCUGGGAUUACAGGCGUGAACCACCAUGUCCAGCCACCAGGUUAUAUAAACUUUUGAUAUAGCUUCAGCAAUCCCUAGUAGGAUUAUUUCGAAGUUUUGAUCUCAGUGGCUUGGCUAGAUUUCCUAAUUCCAGUAACUUUUGUAACUCUUUUUGAUGCCCCAUCCUCAUUUAAGUUCAAAACUAAAAAUAGCAAUGAUAUAGGUGGAAGCAGCCACAGGGGCAGGAGUACCAGAUGAUAAGUUUUCUCUUUUUACUUGUCCACAAAGAACAAUAACCUCAGGACUUGAAGGAGCUUCAGUGUAUUGCAAGGGAAACUUACCAAUUUGUUACUGAGGGAGUUUAUUCAAUUCCUCAGCUAGCACCCUGAUAUCAUUAUUUCAAAAGAAAUGGUCACAAGGAGGCAGGAGAAUUUAAGGACACACUUCAUUACUGAAGUUUUUAAUCUGUGUGAAUUCAACUGUCAAGAUUUCCAUUGUAGCAAAGCAAUCCAUGUAAAAGUCUGAGACUGCUCUGUGGAAAGUUGCUGUUCACUUAAUCAUCAGGUAGGCUGGGUUCCACCUCAACAUUAGCUAUUACUUAUACCCAUCCAGUCAAGCAUAACCAACAUAACCUCUGCAUUGCUGGACAAGCAUGCAGCAGUGUCCUGCCUGAAAUCAAAGGAAAAUUUGCAGUUUUACUAAAAAGAUUCAUGGCUCUCUGGAAAACCACCUUAAAUAAUUUAGGAACCUGAGAAAGCAACCAAACGAUAUUAAUGAACACUCACGACCUCUGCAUCACACUUUUCGACAUUAGAUAUGCUGAAGCCUGGGUGAUGGCCCUCCUACAGUCUGUGAAGUUGAUGCAAUAUCUAGCUCACUAGUUUGCUUGUUAUCUGCCUCUAAGCUUGCAUCAAACCAAAGCAGUUUCUCUACUUCUUCACUAACUAAUGCACUGUGGAAACCCAGUGUUUCUUAAAUACUUGCUAUUAAAAGGCAUCUUUAAUGUGUUGCCUUUUAUAAUGACACAAAAGGGCAUGCAUUUUACAUUAUACUUCUAGUGGAGCUGCCAGAUGUAGGCUAAUCAAUGCAAAUAAUCUAAUCUUUUUUUUGGGGGGGAACAUCACUAGAUAUUGUUAUUACAACAGUAGUUACCAUAUGUUCAGCACCUAAAUAUGUAUGCCAGGCACUUUGCUGGGCACUUAACAUACAUGUAUAACCUCAUUUAAAGCUUCAUAUUAAUUCCAAGUUAGAUAUGGCUUCCAUUUUACUUACAACAAGAACUGAAACUUAAAACAGAUAAAGUUACAUGCCCAAGGGUCCACAGCUAGUAAGAAGAAAACAAAGCCAUUGUAAUAUCAAGAUCUGUCUGACUCUAAAGACUGUUUUUAACCACUACAUAUACUACAAAUACUUCCAUCGUGAGAGAGAAAUGAAGUUAGGGAUGGUCACAGAAUAGCAAAACUAAAUCAGGCAUUCACUCAGAUCACUUGGGGACCAUAUGGGAUUACUUCUGCGGUGCAUUAUUUGGCAGCCUUCCAAACGGUGUUCCACUGGAGGGUGAAGAUCACUUAUGCAUCUCUAGGGACUCUUUGCACAAAAAGGUAGUCUCCAGGUCAAAUUUAAUUUGUGUCUGCUCCGUCACUUCUACCUUGCACCUCAGUAGUUACUGACGUUUGGGAUUUAGAAUUGUGAAAAAGAAAUGAGUUUAGUUCCUAGACCUCAAAAAGCCUGCAAACCAAAACACAAUUUGCUUGAAAGAGUGACACGCUCCAAGUAUCUGAAGGGCUUUAGCAAAAAGAAUAAUGUAGGAUAGGCUAUGUAGCUUGACAGAAAGCUUACAUAUUUGCUCAGGUUGGUUCCUACAGUUUCCAAAGGCAAAUCAGUGUACUUCCUUAAAUAUGAUCACCACCAAAUAAAAUGUCAACAUCACAUGCCUGCAGUAGAAUGGGAAGAAAAGAAAUUGAUGUCAGGGUGUCAGUUGAAGAGCAGCUACUGAUAACUGACUUCACAUGUGGUGGGACAGGCACUCUUUUUGGACUGCCCAUUCUAGCAUCUUUCCUCUUUAGGAAAACUUAUCAAGGACCCUUUCUGGCCCCAAAGACCUUACUUUUUAAAGGAAGUCUAUGCAACUCGUGGGCAAGAAUCCAAACAUCAAUCCCUCAUGAUGAGGACAAGAAAAAAAAUGCUGGAUGAGUCCCCACAAGUGGGGCCACCAUACUGAGACAUAUGGAUGGGGGCAGGAGGCCCUGUGGCUUUUGGGGGCGUUGGAUGGACCAAGAGGGGUCCUAUGCGUGGGUGCAGCCAACAGCUUUCCACAACCACCUGGGAACCAGCUGCAUCAUCCUCAUAAUGUCUCAUUCCACCGCAACUAGGCUGGCCAGGUAGCAACAGUGAUGCUUUUGCUUUGGACAGCCCUGUCUUUCUUUUCAGACUUGGGUUAGUCUUCUGAGUCAAAGACGUCAGUGCUCUGAUGCCCCACAGCUUAGGCUUUGGGGUCAACCCUCUGGUGCCUCGCUGGAUGAAAAUGAACUCAGAAUAGUUUCCCAGGUUAAUGGCAGAUGCCCCUGGUCAGCUGAUUUGGGGGAAUGUCAUUUGAUGACAGCACUGGAGAUGUAGUGUAUGGUAUGAACUAUAAUAGUGUGCAAUCUAUAUCAAGACAGAAUAUCAAAUAUAGAAACUGAAAGAAGGCAGAAUGCAGCAGCUCAUGCCUGUAAUUCCAGCAAAAGCAGAAGAAUCGCUUGAGGCUAGGAGUUCAAGACCAGCCCUAGUGAGACCUCAUCUCUACUAAAAAAUUAGCCGUGCGUGGUGGCGAGCACCUAUAGUCCCAGCUGUUCAGGAAGGUGAGGAAGGAAGACAGCUUGAGCCCAGAAGUUAAGAGGUCACAGUGAGCUGUGAUUUAUGGAUUGUGCCACUGUGCUCCACUCUAGCCUGGGCGACAGAGCAAGACAGUCGAAAGAAAAAAGAAAAAGAAAAAAGAAAGAAACUGAAAGAAGCCUCUAAAAACUUCUUGCCUUCAGAGAUCUUGAAGAGAGACUGUUUUUUCAGAUGUUCAAUGGCACGUACCACACGAAAGUCAAGCUGCAGAGUUAAUGGGGAUUGUUGAACAGAGAGUUAAUGGGGAUUGCUUCUUUGUCCGAACAUUAUGACACUGUGGGAUGGCUAGAACCGUAAGUGCUGCGUAGGUCCGUAUAA